GAUGAACGCUGGCGGCGUGCCUAAUACAUGCAAGUCGAGCGAACAGACGAGGAGCUUGCUCCUCUGACGUUAGCGGCGGACGGGUGAGUAACACGUGGAUAACCUACCUAUAAGACUGGGAUAACUUCGGGAAACCGGAGCUAAUACCGGAUAAUAUAUUGAACCGCAUGGUUCAAUAGUGAAAGACGGUUUUGCUGUCACUUAUAGAUGGAUCCGCGCCGCAUUAGCUAGUUGGUAAGGUAACGGCUUACCAAGGCAACGAUGCGUAGCCGACCUGAGAGGGGGAUCGGCAACACUGGAACUGAGACACGGUCAAGACUCCGACGGGGGGCAGCAGUAGGGAUUCGUCCGCAAGGGGCGAAAGCCUGACAGAGCAACGCCGCGUGAGUAAUGAAGGUCUUCGGAUCUUAAAACUCUGUUAUUAGAGAAGAACAAAUGUGUAAGUAACUAUGCACGUCUGGACGGUACCUAAUCAGAAAGCCACGGCUAACUACG
rnacentral:rRNA from 1 species